GAACUUUCCAGAGAUGGAUUGGUGCCUUCGGGAACUGUGAGACAGGUGCUGCAUGGCUGUCGUCAGCUCGUGUUGUGAAAUGUUGGGUUAAGUCCCGCAACGAGCGCAACCCUUAUCCUUUGUUGCCAGCGAUUCGGUCGGGAACUCAAAGGAGACUGCCAGUGAUAAACUGGAGGAAGGUGGGGAUGACGUCAAGUCAUCAUGGCCCUUACGACCAGGGCUACACACGUGCUACAAUGGCGCAUACAAAGAGAAGCGACCUCGCGAGAGCAAGCGGACCUCAUAAAGUGCGUCGUAGUCCGGAUUGGAGUCUGCAACUCGACUCCAUGAAGUCGGAAUCGCUAGUAAUCGUGGAUCAGAAUGCCACGGUGAAUACGUUCCCGGGCCUUGUACACACCGCCCGUCACACCAUGGGAGUGGGUUGCAAAAGAA
rnacentral:rRNA from 1 species